UACAGAGGUCCCAAGCGUUGUUCGGAUUCACUGGGCGUAAAGGGUGCGUAGGUGGCCAGGUAAGUUUGGUGUGAAAGCUCGGAGCUUAACUCCGAAAAGUCAUUGAAUACUAUCUGGCUGGAGGGUCGGAGGGGAGACUGGAAUUUACGGUGUAGCGGUGAAAUGCGUAGAUAUCGUAAGGAAGACCAGUGGCGAAGGCGGGUCUCUGGACAGUUCCUGACGCUGAGGCACGAAGGUCAGGGGAGCAAACGGG
rnacentral:rRNA from 1 species